ACGGAAGGCAGCAGUGGGGAAUAUUGCACAAUGGGCGAAAGCCUGAUGCAGCGACGCCGCGUGAGCGAAGAAGUAUUUCGGUAUGUAAAGCUCUAUCAGCAGGGAAGAUAAUGACGGUACCUGACUAAGAAGCACCGGCUAAAUACGUGCCAGCAGCCGCGGUAAUACGUAUGGUGCAAGCGUUAUCCGGAUUUACUGGGCGUAAAGGGAGCGUAGGCGGUUUUACAAGUCUGAUGUGAAAGCCCGGGGCUCAACUCCGGUAUUGCAUUGGAAACUGUAGAACUAGAGUGUCGGAGGGGUAAGUGGAAUUCCUAGUGUAGCGGUGAAAUGCGUAGAUAUUAGGAGGAACACCAGUGGCGAAGGCGGCUUACUGGACGAUUACUGACGCUGAGGCUCGAAAGCGUGGGGAGCAAACAGGAUUAGAUACCCUGGUA
rnacentral:rRNA from 1 species